rnacentral:rRNA from 1 species
GAUGAACGCUGGCGGCGUGCUUAACACAUGCAAGUCGAACGAAGCAUUUAGAACAGAUUACUUCGGUUUGAAGUUCUUUAUGACUGAGUGGCGGACGGGUGAGUAACGCGUGGGUAACCUGCCUUGUACUGGGGGAUAGCAGCUGGAAACAGCUGGUAAUACCGCAUAAGCGCACAAUGUUGCAUGACAUGGUGUGAAAAACUCCGGUGGUAUAAGAUGGACCCGCGUCUGAUUAGCUAGUUGGUGAGAUAACAGCCCACCAAGGCGACGAUCAGUAGCCGACCUGAGAGGGUGACCGGCCACAUUGGGACUGAGACACGGCCCAGACUCCUACGGGAGGCAGCAGUGGGGAAUAUUGCACAAUGGAGGAAACUCUGAUGCAGCGACGCCGCGUGAGUGAAGAAGUAAUUCGUUAUGUAAAGCUCUAUCAGCAGGGAAGAUAGUGACGGUACCUGACUAAGAAGCUCCGGCUAAAUACGUG